rnacentral:misc_RNA from 1 species
UUUCCGUAGGUGAACCUGCGGAAGGAUCAUUAUCGUACAAAAUGGGAGGGGCAUGCGAGGGCUGUCGCUGACUCAAAAGUCGUGCACGCCCGUCUGUGUCCUCUUGCAUAAUAAUCCAUCUCACCCUUCGUGCAUCACCGCGUGGGCACCCUUCGGGAUCAUCUCGGAGGGGGGCUGGCGUUCUCACACAAACCCCCUUUUAAAAGUGUAGAAUGACCACAUUUAUGCAAUCAAUACAACUUUCAACAACGGAUCUCUUGGCUCUC